rnacentral:rRNA from 1 species
GGCCAGCNGGGCUAUCUGCAGUCGAGCGCGGGAGCGAGUGGAUCCCUUCGGGGUGAAGCUCGUGGAACGAGCGGCGGACGGGUGAGUAACACGUGGGCAACCUGCCUGUAAGACCGGAAUAACCCCGGGAAACCGGGGCUAAUGCCGGGUAAUACUUUUCUUCGCAUGAAGGAAAGUUGAAAGAUGGCUUCUUGCUAUCACUUACAGAUGGGCCCGCGGCGCAUUAGCUAGUUGGUGAGGUAACGGCUCACCAAGGCGACGAUGCGUAGCCGACCUGAGAGGGUGAUCGGCCACACUGGGACUGAGACACGGCCCAGACUCCUACGGGAGGCAGCAGUAGGGAAUCUUCCGCAAUGGACGAAAGUCUGACGGAGCAACGCCGCGUGAACGAUGAAGGUCUUCGGAUCGUAAAGUUCUGUUGUUAGGGAAGAACAAGUACCGCGCGAAUAGAGCGGUACCUUGACGGUACCUAACGAGGAAGCCCCGGCUAACUACGUGCCAGCAGCCGCGGUAAUACGUAGGGGGCAAGCGUUGUCCGGAAUUAUUGGGCGUAAAGCGCGCGCAGGCGGUUCCUUAAGUCUGAUGUGAAAGCCCACGGCUCAACCGUGGAAGGUCAUUGGAAACUGGGGAACUUGAGGACAGAAGAGGAGAGUGGAAUUCCACGUGUAGCGGUGAAAUGCGUAGAUAUGUGGAGGAACACCAGUGGCGAAGGCGACUCUCUGGUCUGUUUCUGACGCUGAGGUGCGAAAGCGUGGGUAGCAAACAGGAUUAGAUACCCUGGUAGUCCACGCCGUNAACGAUGAGUGCUAGGUGUUAGGGGGCUUCACCCCUUAGUGCUGAAGUUACGCA